GACCUGUUGGCGCAGUGGUUAGCGCACCCACAAUAACUGGCGCAAUAAUUUCUCCAUUAUGUGGGCGGUCCCAGUUUGACUCUGGGAUAGGUCA